GGGCGCGUAGCUCAGCUGGAAGAGCAGCUGACUCUUAAUCAGCGGGUCGUAGGUUCGAACCCUACCGCGCCCACCA
rnacentral:tRNA from 1 species